rnacentral:lncRNA from 1 species
UGGUGCAUGUCAUAUUUUGUGUAAUACAUGUAUCUAAUUUCGACAAAAAGACACAAUAGCUAAUGUUGAAACUGUUUAAAUAUUAAGUGGAAUAAAAACUAACGCUCUGUAUUGUCAUUAAGUUGCUUAAGGUCUCGGUUUAGACCUUAGAAGGAACGGUUAUAUCUUUGUCGUGUUCACGGUUUAGAUCGGACGGUUUUAUUUUCGUUGUGUUCACGCUUUAGGC